rnacentral:rRNA from 1 species
UACGGAGGGGGCAAGCGUUAUUCGGAAUUAUUGGGCGUAAAGGGCGCGUAGGCGGCUAGAUGUGUCAAAGGUGAAAUCCCUCGGCUCAGCUGAGGAACUGCCUUUGAAACUGUCUGGCUUGAGGCCGGGAGAGGGUAGCGGAAUUCCCAGUGUAGCGGUGAAAUGCGUAGAUAUUGGGAGGAACACCAGUGGCGAAGGCGGCUACCUGGACCGGUUCUGACGCUGAGGUGCGAAAGCGUGGGGAGCAAAAGGG